rnacentral:rRNA from 1 species
GACGAACGCUGGCGGCGUGCUUAACACAUGCAAGUCGAACGGAAAGGCCCUGCUUUUGUGGGGUGCUCGAGUGGCGAACGGGUGAGUAACACGUGAGUAACCUGCCCUUGACUUUGGGAUAACUUCAGGAAACUGGGGCGAAUACCGGAUAGGAGCUCCUGCUGCAUGGUGGGGGUUGGAAAGUUUCGGCGGUUGGGGAUGGACUCGCGGCUUAUCAGCUUGUUGGUGGGGUAGUGGCUUACCAAGGCUUUGACGGGUAGCCGGCCUGAGAGGGUGACCGGCCACAUUGGGACUGAGAUACGGACCAGACUCCUACGGGAGGCAGCAGUGGGGAAUAUUGCACAAUGGGCGGAAGCCUGAUGCAGCAACGCCGCGUGCGGGAUGCCGGCCUUCGGGUUGUAAACCGCUUUCGCCUGUGACGAAGCGUGAGUGACGGUAAUGGGUAAAGAAGCACCGGCUAACUACGUG